UACGGGGGGGGCAAGCGUUGUUCGGAAUUACUGGGCGUAAAGGGCUCGUAGGUGGCCAACUAAGUCAGACGUGAAAUCCCUCGGCUUAACCGGGGAACUGCGUCUGAUACUGGACGGCUUGAGUUUGGGAGAGGGACGCGGAAUUCCAGGUGUAGCGGUGAAAUGCGUAGAUAUCUGGAGGAACACCGGUGGCGAAGGCGGCAUCCUGGACCGAGAUUGACGCUGAUGCGCGAAAGCCAGGGGAGCAAACGGG
rnacentral:rRNA from 1 species